rnacentral:misc_RNA from 1 species
UUUACAGGCCUUUCUGCGACUUCUGAACAACUUGAGAGUGAGUGACCAAGUCACAGAACAGGAAGUACAGGAGAUCACUCAGGUUUGCAGGGGUCUUUUUGAUGUUUGUCAAAUCGUGACCUCACUUGAUAUGAAGUUGAUGGUUACCCUAUGGAAAGCUAUAUCCAAGCAUGCAGUCGGAAAUAAGGCCCACAUUGGUCAGCAUCUGGAGGUGGGGGACAUGGUAAACCACCUCUGUGGAGAAAUCCAGACUGGAUUUGUGUAUCUCCUCCAGUUGCUUCCUCGUCUGGAUCUGGAGGGACGGAUGAAGAUCUUGGUCAUGUUGGUUCGGGAAUUCUCUGACCUCCUCGACAGGUGUGAACAACAGGUGUACAAUUUACUCCUCACAUUACACAGACUUCUUCCACCGAGUUUAUCUGCCCAGCAGAUUGACCAGAAACAUCUCUCUGAAAUUCAGCAACAUCUAACCAAUGCUACUGAUGUCCUAAUAAAGGCCUUACUACCAAACAAAGUGUUCAUUGAAACUUUGACUGGCAGUGAGAAAGUGGGAGUCGUGAGAGAUGAGGACAGUUUUCCUGAAUUACAGAUUUUACUCAGAGUCUUAGAUAACCUGCCUCAGAUGGAAGACAGAAUUCAGCAGUUGUGGGUGGAUCCUUGCUUGCAUCCCGAAGAUCUGGAGAGACUCAGUGUAAUAGAAGUGGUGUUCAGAACCACAGCUAGAUGUUCGGUAGAGAUGGGUUUACCCUUGUACAUCACGGAUCCUAGUUUGACAGGAAAACAUGAGAAGAGUAUGACAUUGUACGAGAAUUGCUGUACCAGACUGUGUGGAUUUCUGGGAAGCCUGACAACUAAACUGUUCCACAAAGCCGAAGAAGUCCUCCUGGAGAAUGUUUUGUCACAUGACCUUUGGUGUCAUCUGCUAGCUGAGGACGUCUGGUGCUUCCUUGUCAGAUACGGAUCAGCAGACUUGUGCAGGGAUCAGGUGAACUUUCUAGUGGAGCUGAUGAAACAGUCACCUCCAGCAUUCCAACCCCCGUUCCCGCUCCUCUCACUGACUGUCCGCUUGAUUAAAUGUCUGGCUCCAGAGCAUCAGGCCAAGCUGACACAGAGUCUGGGGGCCUCUGAUGACCCGGUCUCCCUCAGGGUCCUUGCCAGCUGUGUGCAGGGAUUCUCUGACCCCGGCCUCUGCCAGGGGGUCAUCCACUCCAUGUCAGAAAGCUGUUCCCGGUUACUACGGGAGAUAACGACCACAGAGGAAUACACACAGGAAGAUCUACACAGACUGGUCCUGUGCUUGUCCUGCCUCUGUGAGCUGCUGGGUCAAAAUGACACAAUCCCAUUGGCUGUCCAACCCCAUGUGACCUCCUCCAUCACUGACACCAUUGGUCGGCUGUGGAAGGGGAUUGUGGCGUCUGAUUGGCUGAACACUUCACUUUCAUUGCAGUGUCUUGGGAAGUUAAUUCUAUUGAGCUCAUACCUGCUGCUUUCUCUUGAUAAUGAUGUCCUGGACAAGAUUUUGACAGGAAUGAGUUCCUGCGUUCAACAAGAGAGCUCUGUUCAUCUACAUCUAACCCUUGUCUACUUUCUGAGGUCAUUUGGAAAAGUCAGACUGCCAGCAUCACCAGAGCAACCUCAGAUGUUGAAAAGAUUAUCUGAUCUAUUUGUGGCAACCUUGACCUCAUCUGACCUAUUUAUCUACCACCACGGGUUGUCUGCCUUUACCAAGUUUGCAGAAGAAACCCUGCAUGAAGCUGUGGUCCCCAGUUGUAUAGAGGAUCAGCCCGGGCUUCAGGACUGUGUGGUGCAGUUUAUUAACAAGAGUCCUUACACCUGCUCAGGUGAGUUGAGUAGAUUGGAUUUUCUGAGGAUUGUGCCCCAUGUAGAAUAGGCGUGGACAUGGACUCAGACUCUGGUGUCAGUGACCACCAAAGUGGGCCCAGUAGUAAGAGACCUAGACUGAUGGAAAAUGUCAAUCAUCGUCAGGUGUCUCAACAGCUGAAGACUUCUGUAGAGGAGUUGGUGGGAGUGUUACGAGAGACUUUGUCUGACCUAGAAGCCUUCACUAAAUCUGAGGACACCGACAUGACUCCACAAACCUGGAACAACCUGGAACAUAUCCAGACGAAGAUCAUGGAUAUCAUGAAAGAGAAAGGCUGAUCUGUAGCCAUUGAUCAUGAGGAACAUCCUUCAUCUCAAUCAAGCUUACAUACAGCAUGAAGGAGACAGGAAUAAACAAGCAUAGAAAUGACUUUAUUUUUAGAAUGUGGAACAUCCUGAAACAUUUCAAAAUAAAAUACAUGAAUAUCAUGAGGAAUACUCUUCAUCUUGACUAAGCUUACAUAUAGCAAGAAGGAGACAGAAAUAAACAAAGCGGACUGUAUUUUUAAAAAGUUUUAUGUAUGAAAGAUAGAGAAAGAAACUGGAGUAGUAUAUUUAUUUACAUGAGACCAUAUUCAGAUUUAUACUACAGUCAAUGCUUCAUGAUCAGGAAUGGACGAACAUUUCAUGUUUUAUAUUUACACAAUACUCACUGGAAUAUAUCCAUGUUAGGAUUAUUUUGAAUCAUUAAGAUGACAGAAUAUUUUAGUUGAUAUGAUUGAUAAGGUGACGGACGUUUUGUGUCAUUAUCAACGAGUCAGAUACGAUCAGUGAUAUGACAUUCUCCUGCAUAACUUGUUAUAGAUUUUUAUUGAUUAAAAUUUAUUUUGUUUUGAAAUGAAGAAUAAAAAUCUUGUUUACACAAUUUUUCAUAAUUUAAUUAUGUUUGUAUAUUUUUGACCACUUCUGUAUAUAAAGUGUCUAUGAGCACUUUACAGAC